GCGGAAAUAGCUCAGCUGGUAGAGCGCAACCUUGCCAAGGUUGAGGUCGCGAGUUCGAAUCUCGUUUUCCGCUCCA
rnacentral:tRNA from 1 species